GAAGGGGGCUAGCGUUGCUCGGAAUUACUGGGCGUAAAGGGAGCGUAGGCGGAUAGUUUAGUCAGAGGUGAAAUCCCAGGGCUCAACCCUGGAACUGCCUUCAAUACUGGCGAUCUAGAGUCCGGAAGAGGUGAGUGGAACUCCUAGUGUAGAGGUGGAAUUCGUAGAUAUUAGGAAGAACACCAGUGGCGAAGGCGGCUCACUGGUCCGGUACUGACGCUGAGGUGCGAAAGCGUGGGGAGCAAACAGGAUUAGGUACCCUGGUAGUCCACGCCGUAAACUAUGAGAGCUAGCCGUUGGAGAGUUUACUCUUCAGUGGCGCASUAACGCAUUAAGCUCUCCGCCUGGGGAGUACGGUCGCAAGAUUA
rnacentral:rRNA from 1 species